UGGGGAAUAUUGGGCAAUGGAGGCAACUCUGACCCAGCAACGCCGCGUGAGGGAAGAAGGUUUUCGGAUUGUAAACCUCUGUCCUAGGGGACGAAGAAAGUGACGGUACCCUAGGAGGAAGCCCCGGCUAACUACGUGCCAGCAGCCGCGGUAAUACGUAGGGGGCGAGCGUUGUCCGGAAUUACUGGGCGUAAAGGGUGCGUAGGCGGUUUGGUAAGUUAGAUGUGAAAUCCCCGGGCUUAACUCGGGAGUUGCAUUUAAAACUGCUGAACUAGAAUGCAGGAGAGGAAAGCGGAAUUCCUAGUGUAGCGGUGAAAUGCGGAGAUAUUAGGAGGAACACCAGGGGCGAAGGCGACUUACUGGGCCGUAACUGACGCUGAUGCGCGAAAGCGUGGGGAGCGAACA
rnacentral:rRNA from 1 species